GCAGUCGAGCGGACCGAUGGGAGCUUGCUCCUUUAGGUUAGCGGCGGACGGGUGAGUAACACGUGGGCAACCUGCCCUGCAGACUGGGAUAACUUCGGGAAACCGGAGCUAAUACCGAAUAACACCGAAAACCGCAUGGUUUUCGGUUGAAAGGCGGCUUUUAGCUGUCACUGCAGGAUGGGCCCGCGGCGCAUUAGCUAGUUGGUGAGGUAACGGCUCACCAAGGCGACGAUGCGUAGCCGACCUGAGAGGGUGACCGGCCACACUGGGACUGAGACACGGCCCAGACUCCUACGGGAGGCGGCAGUAGGGAAUCUUCCGCAAUGGACGAAAGUCUGACGGAGCAACGCCGCGUGAGCGAAGAAGGUCUUCGGAUCGUAAAGCUCUGUUGUCAGGGAAGAACAAGUACCGUUCGAACAGGGCGGUACCUUGACGGUACCUGACGAGGAAGCCACGGCUAACUACGUGCCAGCAGCCGCGGUAAU
rnacentral:rRNA from 1 species